UCUAUUCAAGUUGGGGAGAAAAGGUUGAUUACUAAGAAGUUGAGAAAGAAAAAUAAAAAAUUGGAAAAAUAAAUAAAUAAAAUAAAAGUGAGAAAUAAAAGAAAAAAGAAAAAGUAUUGAAAAAGAAAAAAAAGAUCAAAUAUUUUAUGCUAAUAAGUUGUGUUAAACUGUGUAACAAUUGAACAAAGAGAAAGAUGAAUGAAAUUUGUGAAUGCUUG
rnacentral:lncRNA from 1 species